AGCUGGAGGUGGUCUGCUGCCUGUCCCCUGGGAGUGGCCCUUGAGGGAAGGAAGGGAAGGAAGGUUUCCAGUGGCUUCCUUCAGCCUGGAACUCUGGGAAUUGGAGACCCGCUAGGCUUAUUUCUUGGCGACCCUGAAGGCGAGCAUGCUGGUAAUAGAGAACCUACUGGAAGGAGAAGAGAAUCAUCCCUGGGGACUUCAUUUCAGCUCCUGCCUGAUGUCUGUCUGCCUGCAGCUUGCUAAGCUUCCCAGGCUUUCUGGAAGCGUCCGCACCGUGUCCUUGUCUUCACUGGGUCUCUUCCUUCUCGAAUAGGGAAGACAUCUUCCAGGUGGGGUUUUCUCUCUGCUUCUGGGAAGAAAAAGGAGAGGGUCAUGGCGGCUUUCUUGCACCUGCUGCUUUUUCAAGUACCUUGAGCUCAAAAUAAAUUUUAUGUCAAAGCCUCGUA